rfam:Talaromyces stipitatus ATCC 10500 scf_1105507295487 genomic scaffold, whole genome shotgun sequence.
GGUUUCGUAGUGUAGUGGUUAUCACUUUUGGUUUUGAUAUGGCCUGACCGGCUCAUGCAAAGCUCCAAAUAACCGGGGUUCGAAUCCCCGCGAGACCU